rnacentral:rRNA from 1 species
AGCAUAUCAAUAAGCGGAGGAAAAGAAACCAACAGGGAUUGCCCUAGUAACGGCGAGUGAAGCGGCAACAGCUCAAAUUUGAAAUCUGGCUCUCGGGCCCGAGUUGUAAUUUGUAGAGGAUACUUUUGAUGCGGUGCCUUCCGAGUUCCCUGGAACGGGACGCCAUAGAGGGUGAGAGCCCCGUCUGGUUGGAUGCCAAAUCUCUGUAAAGUUCCUUCGACGAGUCGAGUAGUUUGGGAAUGCUGCUCUAAAUGGGAGGUAUAUGUCUUCUAAAGCUAAAUACCGGCCAGAGACCGAUAGCGCACAAGUAGAGUGAUCGAAAGAUGAAAAGCACUUUGAAAAGAGAGUUAAAAAGUACGUGAAAUUGUUGAAAGGGAAGCGUUUAUGACCAGACUUGGGCUUGGUUAAUCAUCUGGGGUUCUCCCCAGUGCACUUUUCCAGUCCAGGCCAGCAUCAGUUUUCCCCGGGGGAUAAAGACUUCGGGAAUGUGGCUCUCUUCGGGGAGUGUUAUAGCCCGUUGUGUAAUACCCUGGGGGGGACUGAGGUUCGCGCAUCUGCAAGGAUGCUGGCGUAAUGGUCAUCAACGACCCGUCUUGAAACACGGACCAAGGAGUCGUCUUCGUAUGCGAGUGUUCGGGUGUCAAACCCCUACGCGUAAUGAAAGUGAACGCAGGUGAGAGCUUCGGCGCAUCAUCGACCGAUCCUGAUGUUCUCGGAUGGAUUUGAGUAAGAGCAUACGGGGCCGGACCCGAAAGAAGGUGAACUAUGCCUGUAUAGGGUGAAGCCAGAGGAAACUCUGGUGGAGGCUCGCAGCGGUUCUGACGUGCAAAUCGAUCGUCAAAUAUGG